GAAAAAGCCAAAGUUAUCUACAUUAUUUUGGAUAUUAUUGAGAAACUUUCUUCGACAAGAAGUAUAUCCCGAAGUCAAUUAUUAAAAAUAAUGUUACCGAAGUCUUUUAUAAAAAUAUUAUCAAGUACAACGAGUCCUGCAACAAACAAGUUGAAAAAGUACUUAAAGGAACUUACGCUCUCCUGGCAUCAAGACAUAGGAUUGAAUUGAGCAUAUCCAAAUGGGGAAAGGAAAAGUUCUUCGUUUCGAAAGACGACCUUUUUACAAAAUUCAGUUUUAUACAAAUGAAUUUAGCCAGAGUUAAUUAUGCUGUUGAAAUCGCCAAAACGGUGAAUCUUGUUCAACAAAGUGGGUUACCCGAGAAAAUUCGCAGAACUCUACUUCAUAAAGCAACAAGAAAAGAUCUUUUCUACAAACACGAACCAAUUGAUACAAAUAAAAAAGAAGUACCG